rnacentral:rRNA from 1 species
AGUGAGCGCUGGCGGUAGGCCUAACACAUGCAAGUCGAACGGCAGCACAGUAAGAGCUUGCUCUUACGGGUGGCGAGUGGCGGACGGGUGAGGAAUACAUCGGAAUCUACUUUUUCGUGGGGGAUAACGUAGGGAAACUUACGCUAAUACCGCAUACGACCUACGGGUGAAAGCAGGGGAUCUUCGGACCUUGCGCGAUUGAAUGAGCCGAUGUCGGAUUAGCUAGUUGGCGGGGUAAAGGCCCACCAAGGCGACGAUCCGUAGCUGGUCUGAGAGGAUGAUCAGCCACACUGGAACUGAGACACGGUCCAGACUCCUACGGGAGGCAGCAGUGGGGAAUAUUGGACAAUGGGCGCAGGCCUGAUCCAGCCAUACCGCGUGGGUGAAGAAGGCCUUCGGGUUGUAAAGCCCUUUUGUUGGGAAAGAAAAGCAGCAGGUUAAUACCCCGCUGUUCUGACGGUACCCAAAGAAUAAGCACCGGCUAACUUCGUG